GGCGGAUCCCGUUACCAACGGCCGAUUCCAUCUUUUGGAGAAGCGAAACCCGAUGUCACCGUCGGCGAGACCUCAGUCUCUUCGUCUUAUGGAAGAGCGACCGAGCCUCGCUGUUGCUACCGCUGCUGUCCGAGGGGCUUCCCCGGUUUAGGUUGAGUUCAUCAUCGACUACCUUACCACUUCUUCUUCCGCCCUUACGAUCGAUGCACAUCCAUCACGUAGCUACUGACGAAAUGGGCAUUCCUCAGAUAAAUGUGUUGGACCAGGAGGUUGGUAUGGUGACACCUAUGUGCCUACAUCUAACAUCCAAAGAUCUGCUAGAUAAGUUAUUCAAGGAACAUCUUAUAUGCUAAUUCAAUGUGCCAAUUGCUUUAGCUUCAAGUACCCGAUGAAUCUUUGUCACUGCUUAUGGGAAUGGGUUACAAAGAAAAUGCAGCGAAAAGGGCGCUAAGAAUGACCGGUCAAGACGUUCAGCCAGCAGUUCAUUUCCUGGUUGAAGAGCUAGGAAAAUACUCAGGAAACAGGAGAAUAUUCAGCGACAAGGAGAGAUUUUGUAUAGCUCUAUACUUUGCCAGAGAAUGUUUUUAUCUUAUUUUUUAGUUAAUGAUUGUUGCUGAUUGUAUGAACUUGUAGAGAACAGAGGAGAUAUGGUACUAAUAAAUCAUGGCAUAUAGCAUAAUGUGACAGAUGUAAUGGCUUUGCUUCUGUGGAUUGUGAAACAUUAGAUUGUGUCAGGCACUUAUCAGAUUGCUCUCUGGUGUCUAGGAUCAAUACAUGUACACUACUAGUCAAUCUAUUUUGCAGUUUUGAUAGAGAUCUUGCUGCACAGGCUCUUAGGGUGAAUGAAAAUGAAGUUCAAAAAGCGUUAGAUCUUUUGACAAAUCCUGAGAGCCCUUCAGGUACUUGGUUUUCUUUAGAGUGCUUCUCUAUUAUCAUUUUCACUAACUAAUGACCUUUUGACUGCCAGAGUCGACUUGGAAGUUGGGAGUAUCGGAUUCUUCAGGUGCAGACGUUGAGGAAUUAGUAUCCAUGGGGUAUAACCGAUCACCAGUUGUGGACGCUGUGCAAAGGUCACGUACCAAGGAGGAUGUGUUGAAACUUCUUGUCGGAGCAAAUUCAGAGGAUAGCCAGCAUGCUACAAUCAACCAACCGAAAGAUGAUUAAGGGCCAUCAGCUGCUUUAGCUAAUGAUGAUAAAAUGGAUCUGGGAGGAGAACACAAAUAUGAGAGAGACGAAGCCAUGGAAUAUGAGCUUGCUCCUUUGGCAGACUACAACACGGAAGUAAUGAAAGGAGAGGCCACAACAAAGUGUUUGGCCAUUCUGGAUUCAAAAGCCAAUGCAACAUAGGAAAUAAGAUACAUAGGAAGAAUCCCGUAAAUAAGUAAGAUAGUGUAGUUUCCUUUUGUAUCCUCCAGCAUUAAUAUAUUAUUAUAGAAGAUACGACUGCGAUUUCUUUUUUUAAGUAGCUUUAAGUUUUAUUUUUUCUCUUUCUGUAAUCAUCAUUUCCAAAUGGGUUUUUAUGUAUUUCUGGCAAUGUGCACCCAG